rnacentral:rRNA from 1 species
GACGUAGGGCGCGAGCGUUGUCCGGAUUUAUUGGGCGUAAAGAGCUCGUAGGCGGCUUGUCGCGUCGACUGUGAAAACCCGCGGCUCAACUGCGGGCUUGCAGCCGAUACGGGCAGGCUAGAGUUCGGUAGGGGAGACUGGAAUUCCUGGUGUAGCGGUGAAAUGCGCAGAUAUCAGGAGGAACACCGGUGGCGAAGGCGGGUCUCUGGGCCGAUACUGACGCUGGAGGAGCG